UUUCUUUUCCUAUGAAGCAGACGUGUCUAACAAUGCUAAAGGACAGCUACGUUCUGGUUCGACCCACAUGAGGCUUUUUACGAAUUCAUCAAGAGUGAGGAAGUAAAGACUUCAAAAUCCACUUUUGCCUCGUUGUGCUGUCUGUCUAGCUAAACAGGCUCACGUUUAGUGAGGACAGAACAGUAAAAAGCCUCAUUAUCAACAGUUGGAGCCAGAAGCUGUUACUCCAAGCAUAAAGACAUAAUGUUGAAGCAAGUGGACGCUCAAUCGCAAAGUCAGCAGAGAAGCUGCUCACCAAGUAGUCAAGGUGAGUUAUGGGAAACAAGGUCUCGUUGCUCCAGAUCCUCAAAGCAGUCUACAAGGUCAUCAGCAAGCGUUGCAGCCCUCAAAGCGCGAGCCAAAGCUGGGGCUGCACAAGCGCAGUUGGCUUUUGCAGAAGAGGAAGCUGAAGCCAUGAAGCAACAGGCUCAAAUCCAAGCUCAACUUCAUGUACUGAAGGUGAAGAAGGAGGCAGCAGCUGCAUCAGCAGAAGCGGACAUCCUGGAAGCAGCAAUUCAGCAGGAAGAAGCACAACCACUUUGUCAUCCAUCAUCCAUCGACUUUGUGGACUCUAAACAAAAGGUUCAAAAUUAUAUCGACAGUCAAGUAAUCCAGCCAGUACAACACCCAGUCCCAUGCUGGAACCCCUUCCACCAAAUUGACAACUCAAGCAUUCAACCUCAACCAUUACCUCAACAAAAUUCCCACACUUUCAACUGCAUAUCAUCACCUAUUCCUGGCGCUACAUCUCCAGCUCCAAUUCACCAGUAUCAGCCACUCAGUUCAUCUCUUCCCCACCCUCAGCAGAAAACAAAUGUAAGUGAUGUAGCAAAAUAUCUGAUGAGACGUGAACUUGUAACAGGCACCAUGCAGAGAUUCGACGAUGAUCCACAAAAUUAUCGCAGCUGGAAAUCAUCUUUUGUGAACAUCACUAAAGACCUAGCUCUGUCAGACAAAGAAGAGCUAGAUCUUCUACUGAAAUGGCUUGGGCCCAAGUCAACUGAACAAGCAAAGAGAAUCAGUGCAGCUCAAGUCAAUAACACAACUUCUGCGCUCAAAAUGGUUUGGCAGCGACUAGAAGAAACGUUUGGUGCACCUGAGCAACUCAGUUCAAGUUUGAUAAACAAGUUAAAAGCAGCACUCGCCCAAUGAUAUCCGUGAAAAAGACUGAAAUUGCUGUAGACACUGAGUUAAAAGAGGUAUGUGAAGAGCCAGACAAACAUUGUCCGUUGCAUAACAAGCCACACCCCCUCAGAAGAUGUCGUACUUUUCUCACCAAGCCUCUUGAUGAGAGAAAGGCGUACCUGAAAGAGAAAGGCAUAUGCUUCAGGUGCUGUGCGUCAACCAAACACCAAGCGAAAGACUGUACUAUUAAAGUCACAUGCAAAGAAUGUCAGAGUGAAAGACACAAUACAGCUCUUCAUCCAGGUCCUCCUUCAACCGACAUCAAACCGUCUUCAGAGGCGCGUCAGCACGGCGGGGAGACCGAGUCAAGUCUACAACCCGUUUCCGCUACCACAAUGUGCACCGAGGUAUGUGGGGAACAACGUAGUCCUAGAUCUUGUGCGAAGAUAUGUUUAGCUAAAGUUUAUCCAGCAGGCCAACGAGAAAAGGCUAUAAACUUGUAUGCUGUCAUGGACGAACAAAGUAACCAAUCCCUUGCUCGUUCAGACUUUUUUGACAUCUUCAGAGUAAACGGAAGCAGAGAGAUUUAUACUCUGAAGACAUGUUCAGGUGUCAUGGAAGUGAGCGGGAGGAAAGCCAAAGACUUUAUUAUUGAGUCAAUAGAUGGUCGUGUAAAAGUGCCACUUCCUCCUAUGCUAGAAUGUGACAUGAUCCCAGAAGAUCGUUCUGAGAUACCUGCACCAGAAGUCACACAACACCAUCCACAUUUAAAGGCACUCUCACACAAAAUCAGUCCUGUAGAUCCAAACGCACAGAUCCUCUUGCUGCUCGGUAGAGACAUCCUGAGGUUGCACAAAGUGAGAGAGCAAUGUAAUGGUCCCAGUAAUGCACCAUUCGCGCAGCGCCUUGACCUAGGCUGGGUCAUCGUGGGUGAUGUAUGUGUAAGUGGAGUGCACAAACCAGUCUCUAUUACAGCAUACAAAACAAACACCUUGUUCAAUGGACGGCCAUCAUAUCUCGAUGCCUGCACAAAUGUCCUACAAGUCAAAGAAAAAAAGGUAACCAACGUAAAAGAUGACAUGCACAGCUUCACAGACACUUAUCAAGUAAAACGAUCAGACAAUCUUGGGGAUACAAUCUUCGUCAAAAGAGAGGAUGAUGAAAUGUUGGCACCGUCACAACAAGAUGCAGAAUUUCUCAAAAUAAUGCAAAAUGAAAUGUACCAGGAUGAGACAAACAAUUGGGUUGCACCGCUUCCAUUUGUUACACCCAGACAGCGUCUACCAAACAACAGACAACAAGCUUUAAAGAGACUUUACACACUCAAACGUAGUCUUGACAAAAAGCCUGAAACAAGAGAGCACUUUGUACAGUUCAUGCAAAAAAUCUUAAACAACCAGCAAGCAGAAACCGCACCUCCCUUGCAACCUGAGGAAGAGUGCUGGUACCUCCCAAUGUUCGGGGUGUACCACCCUCAAAAACCCCAUCAAAUUCGUGUGGUUUUUGAUUCAAGUGCCAAACAUGAGGGUGUAGCGUUGAAUGAUGUCCUCUUAAGCGGCCCAGAUCUUAACAAUGCGUUACUAGGAGUGCUCAUCAGAUUCCGUAAGGAGCCUAUUGCAGUAACGGCAGAUGUGGAACAAAUGUUCUACUGCUUCAAAGUGCGAGAAGAUCAUCGCAAUUUCCUGCGAUUCCUUUGGCACAAAGACAAUGACGUCGCAAAGGAAAUUAUUGAGUACCGCAUGAAAGUGCAUGUGUUUGGAAAUCGUCCGUCUCCCUCUGUUGCAAUCUACGGAUUACGCAAAGCUGCUGGGGUAGGAGAAACGGAAUAUGGCAAAGAAGCAUCACAGUUUGUUAUCAGAAAUUUUUAUGUGGACGAUGGUCUGGUCUCACUCCCGACAGAACUUGAAGCGAUCACGCUCCUGCAAAACACUCAGAAAAUGUUGGCUGUGUCAAACUUGCGCCUACAUAAAUUCGCUUCUAAUAGCAGCAAAGUCAUGGAGGCGUUUCCAACAAGCGACUUGGCAAAAGACAUUAAAAGCCUAAACCUAGACAAUGACCCGUUGCCUGUUCAGAGAAGUUUAGGCAUCAGCUGGAGUCUUGAAUCUGACACUUUCACCUUCCACGUGAGCAAAGAGAAAAAACCCUUCACCAAAAGAGGCAUACUAUCCACUGUCAAUAGUUUGUAUGACCCCUUGGGGUUUGUUUCGCCUAUAACUGUACAGGGAAAAGCACUCAUCCGAGAAUUCACCUUGGAACCAUGCGACUGGGAUGACCCCUUGCCUGCAAACAAAGAGAGAUUGUGGACUGCAUGGAAGGAUUCACUUCUCGAGGUAGAGAACAUACACAUUCCUAGGUCGUAUGUACCACAGUCUAUGUCCUCAACACAGCACAGAGAACUUUGUGUUUUCAGCGAUGCUUCAUCUACAGCAAUAGCAGCAGUUGCUUACAUUCAAGUUAAAAAUGACCAUGGACAGUAUUUCAGUGGAUUUGUCAUGGGAAAAUCCAAACUAGCACCGAGACCAGCGCACACAAUCCCACGUUUAGAACUGUGCGCAGCUGUCCUCGCUGUAGAAAUGGCUGAGCUCAUAUGCCAAGAAAUCGACAUUAAGCUCCAUGAUGUCAGGUUCUACACUGACAGUAAGAUUGUGCUAGGUUACAUCUAUAACAUCUCAAGAAGGUUUUAUGUCUAUGUAUCAAACAGAGUCUCAAGAAUCAGAAAGUCAUCUGUACCAUCGCAGUGGCAUCAUGUUUCAUCGGAAAACAACCCGGCAGACAUUGCCACACGUCCAAUAGCAGCGCUAUUGCUACCACAAACCUACUGGUUCACAGGCCCACCUUUCCUGAACAAAGACCUGUCACAGUUUCCUCCAAUGGAAGAUAACAACAACUUCAAACUAAUCGAACCAGAACAAGAUGUCGAGGUUCGACCGGAAGUUAAUGUCUGUGCUACCCAAGUGAGCUUCAAACAUCUCAGCCCACACCGCUUUGAAAGAUUCUCAUCGUGGAAACAUCUAAUAAGAGGCAUGGCAAAACUCAUUGCAGUCAUCAGAAACAAAUCCAAAACUGCAGACAAAAAAAGUACAAAUCUACAAACUCAAGCAAAACUGUCAGUCAUUGCAAGUGUUCAACAAAAUGCAUUCAAAGAGGAAAUGACAAAGCUUAAAAAAGGAGAGCAUAUCGCAAAAACAAGUCCCUUGUGGAAUUUAAACUCAUUCAUAGACUCAGAAGGACUGUUAAGAGUGGGAGGUCGAACAUCUCUUGCCAAUCUUCCAUAUGAUGAAAAGCACCCACUGAUACUCCCUAAAAGGCAUCAUGUGUCAACUUUGCUUGUGAGAUAUUACCACCAAGAUGUCGCUCAUCAAGGUCGUCACCUCACCGAGGGAGCACUUCGAUCUGCAGGUGUCUGGAUAAUUGGCGCAAGAAAACUUGUCUCAAGUGUCAUUUAUCAAUGUGUCACAUGUCGCAAACUUAGGGGUAAGCCUGCUGAACAGAAAAUGGCCAACUUGCCCGAAGACCGUCUUACAAUGGAGCCUCCUUUCACAAGGGUAGGUCUAGAUGUUUUUGGGCCCUGGACUGUUGUCACCCGCAAAACAAGAGGCGGUAGCGCUGACAGCAAACGUUGGGCAGUUUUGUUCAGCUGUCUGGGCACCCGCGCAGUUCACAUAGAAGUCAUAGAAUCUAUGUCUACAUCAAGUUUUAUUAAUGCAUUACGAAGGUUUUUCGCAGUCAGGGGUCCUGCCAAAGUUUUGAGGUCAGACCGUGGCACUAACUUUAUAGGUGCUUGUAAAGAGUUGAAAAUAAGCACCGAUGACUCUGAGAUUCAAGAUUACUUGAGCAAAGAAGGCUGCACAUGGACUUUCAACACACCUUAUUCAUCGCAUAUGGGAGGCUCAUGGGAAAGAAUGAUAGGCAUCGCCCGUCGCAUUCUUGAUGCCAUGCUAUUGCAAGCAGGUCCUACUCGCCUCACACACGAAGUUCUGACAACGCUCAUGUCAGAAGUUAUGGCUAUCAUGAAUUGCCGACCAUUAGUUCCCAUCACCACGGAUUCAGAGACACCAACAGUUUUGACGCCAUCCAUGCUCCUAACCCAAAAGAAAGGUGCUGCUCCUGCUCCAGAAGGUACGUUCGACAUCAAGGACAUGUACAAAAAGCAAUGGAAGCAUGUUCAAAGUCUUGCAGAUGCCUUUUGGAAACGCUGGAGACAAGAAUAUCUGACAGCUCUUCAAGUAAGAAAGAAAUGGACUCAGGACAAGGACAAUAUCUCAGAAGGAGAUGUCGUCUUAGUUAAAGAUGAACUACUGAAACGCAACGAAUGGCCCAUCGGACUCAUUACAAAGUGCAUCCCAAGCGAAGACAAAAGAAUCCGAAAAGUGGAAGUACGAGUUGUCAAGCAAGGGACUCCGCGUGUCUAUUUGCGACCGAUAAACCAACUGAUUUUGUUACUCCCUCGUCAUAGUGAAACAAAAAAGACUUGAUUAAGUUUAUACAUUUAGUGGUAUAAAGUAUUUAUACCAGACGGGGAGUGUGAUGGUUUGUUCAAUUGUAUUUGUCAAAUAAUGACCUCUGGUGGCGGCUUUGGGUGUAGUUGAAUUCCUGCCUUUCUUUUCCUAUGAAGCAGACGUGUCUAACAAUGCUAAAGGACAGCUACGUUCUGGUUCGACCCACAUGAGGCUCUGUGUUUGUGUGAAUACCACAAGAAGAACCUUCAUCAUGGCAGAUUGGGAGGAAGGCAGAAAUGAAGAUGAUGAUGCUUUUAGGGAGACAGACAGACAGAAGGUGUUCAUGCGUGGGAAGGAAAGUUAAGUUAUGAGUGUAAGAGCUGCAUAAAGCUUUCGUUUGGAAGCAAAGUGAAGUUGUUUCUAAUAUAAAGUUUCUGUCAUUUUUACAGUUGGAAUAUGAGAAGCAACUCUUGUCAAAUUAAACUUUUGACAUAGUAUAACUUUACUCCCUGGAUAUUACAACUUGUUUUCCCCACAUGAAAUUACAGCUCAGUGCCAGAAUAUGAAUGCUUUAUUCUUGCAAUAUUGCACCAUUUAACUUUUUGUAAAAUUGCCACUUUGCUCACAUUACAACUUUGUCUUUUGUGUGGUGACUUUAUAUUUUAAUUGCAGUAAACUAAGAUU